rnacentral:rRNA from 1 species
CUGCGGAGACAUUACUGAGUUCUUGAAUGUGAGGGUUGUUGCUGGCCUUUCAGAGGCAAUUGUGCACAUCCUUGCUUCAUUCACUCUAUUUUUAAACCCUCUGUGCACAUUUAGUGGGUCUCUAUUGCCACAUGCAUAAAUGGCUUAUAGGGCUAUUUUUUGUAGUGAAGAAAGGAGGCUCAUGUUUUAUUUAUACACUAUUGAAAAAAGUCAAAGGAAUGUAUUGGAAAUGUUGGAUAUAUAAUAUAACUUUUAGCAAUGGAUCUCUUGGCUCUUGCAUCGAUGAAGAACGCAGCGAAAUGCGAUAAGUAAUGUGAAUUGCAGAAUUCAGUGAAUCAUCGAAUUUUUGAAUGCAUCUUGCGCUUCUUGGUAUUCCAAGAAGCAUGCCUGUUUGAGUGUCAUAAAAUUCUUCAAUCUUGCCAAAGUGUUUUAACCUUUGUUGAAGGCUUGGAUUUGGAGGCUUGCUGGUCUUUUUGGAGGAUCAGCUUCUCUGAAAUAUAUAUAAGCUUGAUUUUCCUUACUCUAAUUGAGCUUUGAUGUUGAUAAAUGACAUCUACAUCACAGUUAAUCAUUGUAUAUGGUUUGAGUAGGCAGGCUUUUUCUCUAAAAAGCUUGAUCUCUUGAAUCGAGAGAGAGGAGAGAGAGACAGAAACCAAGUUUUUGAUAUUUUUGACCUCAAAUCAGGUAGGACUACCCGCUGAACUUAAGAAAAA